AGAGAGGUGCAAUGGUUUCAGCAUUGGACUACGACUCAGGAGACCAGGGUUCGAUUCCCAGCUUGCCUG